rnacentral:lncRNA from 1 species
GGGAAUUACAACCUGCAGAUAAAAUAGGACACUCAAAUUGCUGUACUGAUGAGAUGAUAAAAAGCUGAACCCAGCUCAUUAAUAGUGUGGCUCCUCCACAGUUAGGAAAUGACAAUUUGUUCUUCUAAAUUGCCAAGUCUGUACCUGAAUUAUGUAUAGACUGAAAGACGAUUCCAAGAGAUUCCUUCCUGCUCGGGGACCAUCUGCUCCACUCCUGCAAAGGCAGGGAUCUGCUUUGUGGUCCUGAUGACUGACAGAGAGGCUGCCAUUUCAGACUUCACCAGCUGCCAUGGCAGAAGAACAAAGAGAAAUCAUAAUGGAUGGAGAAGUAUCUUGCCCAGCAAUGAAACCCUCAACCUGAUACAAGGUUGGGAUCAUCUAAUUCUUCCUUGGACCAUGGACAGAAAUUCCCAUCACUGUGUUCUCCGAACAGUUGGUCAAGAAUCCUGGAGAGAUGGCUUAGUGGUUAAGAGAACUGGCUGUUCUUCUAGAGGACCUGGGUUCAAUUUCCAGCAGCUACAUGGAAGUUCACAACUAUCAGUUCCAGGGUGUCUGACACUCUCACACAG